rnacentral:rRNA from 1 species
UACGUAGGGGGCAAGCGUUGUCCGGAAUCAUUGGGCGUAAAGAGCGUGUAGGCGGUCCGAUAAGUCGGUUGUGAAAGUCCAGGGCUCAACCCUGGGAUGCCGACCGAUACUGUCGGACUAGAGUUCGGAAGAGGCGAGUGGAAUUCCCGGUGUAGCGGUGAAAUGCGCAGAUAUCGGGAGGAACACCUAUGGCGAAGGCAGCUCGCUGGGACGUUACUGACGCUGAGACGCGAAAGCGUGGGGAGCAAACAGG